AGGGAAUUUUCCACAAUGGGCGAAAGCCUGAUGGAGCAAUACCGCGUGCAGGAUGACAGCCUUCGGGUCGUAAACUGCUUUUAUACGAGAAGAUUAUGACGGUAUCGUAUGAAUAAGCCUCGGCUAACUCCGUGCCAGCAGCCGCGGUCAGACGGAGGAGGCAAGCGUUAUCCGGAGUGACUGGGCGUAAAGAGAUGCGUAGGCGGUAUGUAAAGCGAACAGUGAAAUCUCAAAGCUCAACUUUGAGGCUACUGUUUGAACUUACAUACUAGAGCAUGAUAGGGGAAACUGGAAUUCCUAGUGUAGGAGUGAAAUCCGUAGAUAUUAGGAGGAACACCAAUGGCGAAGGCAGGUUUCUGGAUCAUUGCUGACGCUCAGGCUCGAAAGUGUGGGUAGCGAAC
rnacentral:rRNA from 1 species